rnacentral:rRNA from 1 species
GACGAACGCUGGCGGCGUGCUUAACACAUGCAAGUCGAGCGGUAAGGCCCUUUCGGGGGUACACGAGCGGCGAACGGGUGAGUAACACGUGGGUGACCUGCCCUCAGCUCUGGGAUAAGCCCGGGGAAACUGGGUCUAAUACCGGAUAUGACUCCAUGACGCAUGUUGUGGGGUGGAAAGCCUUGUGCGGCUGAGGAUGGGCCCGCGGCCUAUCAGCUUGUUGGUGGGGUGAUGGCCUACCAAGGCGACGACGGGUAGCCGGCCUGAGAGGGCGACCGGCCACACUGGGACUGAGACACGGCCCAGACUCCUACGGGAGGCAGCAGUGGGGAAUCUUGCGCAAUGGGCGAAAGCCUGACGCAGCGACGCCGCGUGAGGGAUGACGGCCUCGGU